CCUACGGGGGGCAGCAGUAGGGAAUAUUUCACAAUGGACGAAAGUCUGAUGAAGCAACGCCGCGUGAAUGAAGAAGGCGUUCGGCUCGUAAAAUUCUGUUAUUAAAGAAGAACGUACUUGAGAGGAUAUGUUCACGUUGUGACGGUAUUUAACCAGAAAGUCACGGCUAACUACGUGCCAGCAGCCGCGGUAAUACGUAGGUCACAAGCGUUAUCCGGAUUUAUUGGGCGUAAAGAGAGUGCAGGCGGUUUCUUAAGUCUGGUGUGAAAGCCUUCGGCUUAACCGGAGAAGUGCAUUGGAAACUAGGAAACUUGAGUACAGCAGAGGAUAGUAGAACUCCAUGUGUAGCGGUGAAAUGCGUAGAUAUUAGGAAGAAUACCAGUGGCGAAGGCGGCUAUCUGGGCUGUAACUGACGCUGAGGCUCGAAAGCAUGGGUAGCGAACAGGAUUAGAUACCCCUGUAGUCC
rnacentral:rRNA from 1 species